rnacentral:misc_RNA from 1 species
GAUGAAGAACGCAGCGAAAUGCGAUAAGUAAUGUGAAUUGCAGAAUUCAGUGAAUCAUCGAAUCUUUGAACGCACCUUGCGCCCUUUGGCUAUUCCGAAGGGCAUGCCUGUUUGAGUAUCAUGAACACCUCAACUCUUUAUGGUUUUCCAUGAAGGGCUUGGACUUUGGGGGUCUUGCUGGCCUUUAGUCAGCUCCUCUCAAACGAAUCAGCUUUCCAGUGUUUGGCAGCGUCACAGGUGUGAUAACUAUCUACGCUUGUGGUUUUCUGCCAGGUAAUCCUCAGUGAUGGGGAUUCGCUGGGGCUUAUAAAUGUCUCUCCUCAGCGAAGACAGCUUUGUGAGCGUUUGAUCUCAAAUCAGGUAGGACUACCCGCUGAACUUAAGCAUAUCAAUAAGCGGAGGA